rnacentral:ribozyme from 13 species
CUUCUCUUUCUCCUUCUCCUUCUCUGCCUUCUUCGGUGUCAACCCCUUCUCUUUCGAAAUCAGUGCAAGAAGACCCUCAGAAAGCAGAGAUGAGAAGAAAAAGAUUGAUGAGGUUUUCUCAGGAAUAAUAUGUUUUUAAAAGAAAGAAAAAAAAAAACA